rnacentral:rRNA from 1 species
CCUACGGGGGGCUGCAGUGGGGGAUAUUGCACAAUGGAGGAAACUCUGAUGCAGCAACGCCGCGUGAGCGAAGAAGGUCUUCGGAUCGUAAAGCUCUGUUGUUAGGGAAGAACAAGUACGGGAGGAAAUGACCGUACCUUGACGGUACCUAACGAGGAAGCCACGGCUAACUACGUGCCAGCAGCCGCGGUAAUACGUAGUUGGCAAGGGUUGUCCGGAAUUAUUGGGCGUAAAGCGCGCGCAGGCGGUCAUUUCAGUCGUAUGUGAAAGCUUGCGGCUCAACCGCAGCCGGUCUAUGGAAACUGCGCGACAUGGGUUUAGUAGAGGAGAUCGGAAUUCCACGUGUAGCGGUGAAAUGCGGAGAUAUGUGGUGGAUCACCAGUGGCGAAGGCGGUGUUCUGGUCUGUAUCUUUCGCUGAGGCGCGAAAGCGUGGGGAGCAAACAGGAUUAGAUACCGGUGUAGUC